UACGUAGGGUGCGAGCGUUGUCCGGAAUUAUUGGGCGUAAAGAGCUUGUAGGCGGUUUGUCGCGUCUGCCGUGAAAUUUCGAGGCUCAACCUCGAACUUGCGGUGGGUACGGGCAGACUAGAGUGUGGUAGGGGAGACUGGAAUUCCUGGUGUAGCGGUGAAAUGCGCAGAUAUCAGGAGGAACACCGAUGGCGAAGGCAGGUCUCUGGGCCACUACUGACGCUGAGAAGCGAAAGCGUGGGGAGCGAACAGG
rnacentral:rRNA from 1 species